rnacentral:rRNA from 1 species
UAGGGAAUCUUCCACAAUGGACGCAAGUCUGAUGGAGCAACGCCGCGUGAGUGAAGAAGGUUUUCGGAUCGUAAAGCUCUGUUGUUGGUGAAGAAGGAUAGAGGCAGUAACUGGUCUUUAUUUGACGGUAAUCAACCAGAAAGUCACGGCUAACUACGUGCCAGCAGCCGCGGUAAUACGUAGGUGGCAAGCGUUGUCCGGAUUUAUUGGGCGUAAAGCGAGCGCAGGCGGAAUGAUAAGUCUGAUGUGAAAGCCCACGGCUCAACCGUGGAACUGCAUCGGAAACUGUCAUUCUUGAGUGCAGAAGAGGAGAGUGGAACUCCAUGUGUAGCGGUGGAAUGCGUAGAUAUAUGGAAGAACACCAGUGGCGAAGGCGGCUCUCUGGUCUGCAACUGACGCUGAGGCUCGAAAGCAUGGGUAGCGAACAGGAUUAGAUACCCUGGUAGUCCAUGCCGUAAACGAUGAGCGCUAGGUGUUGGGGACUUUCCGGUCCCCGGUGCCGCAGCAAACGCAUUAAGCGCUCCGCCUGGGGAGUACGACCGCAAGGUUGAAAC